rnacentral:rRNA from 1 species
GACGAACGCUGGCGGCGUGCUUAACACAUGCAAGUCGAACGGAAAGGCCCUGCUUUUGUGGGGUGCUCGAGUGGCGAACGGGUGAGUAACACGUGAGUAACCUGCCCUUGACUUUGGGAUAACUACAGGAAACUGGGGCUAAUACCGGAUAGGAGCUCCUGCUGCAUGGUGGGGGUUGGAAAGUUUCGGCGGUUGGGGAUGGACUCGCGGCUUAUCAGCUUGUUGGUGGGGUAGUGGCUUACCAAGGCUUUGACGGGUAGCCGGCCUGAGAGGGUGACCGGCCACAUUGGGACUGAGAUACGGCCCAGACUCCUACGGGAGGCAGCAGUGGGGAAUAUUGCACAAUGGGCGGAAGCCUGAUGCAGCAACGCCGCGUGCGGGAUGACGGCCUUCGGGUUGUAAACCGCUUUCGCCUGUGACGAAGCGUGAGUGACGGUAAUGGGUAAAGAAGCACCGGCUAACUACGU